rnacentral:rRNA from 1 species
UACGUAGGUGGCAAGCGUUGUCCGGAAUUACUGGGCGUAAAGCGUGCGCAGGCGGUUUUGUAAGCCAGGUGUGAAAUCCCCCGGGCUCAACCUGGGAAUGGCAUUUGGGACUGCAAGGCUGGAGUGCGGCAGAGGAGACUGGAAUUCCUGGUGUAGCAGUGAAAUGCGUAGAUAUCAGGAGGAACACCGAUGGCGAAGGCAGGUCUCUGGGCUGACACUGACGCUCAUGCACGAAAGCGUGGGGAGCAAACAGG